rnacentral:rRNA from 1 species
UACGGGGGGGGGUAAGCGUUGUUCGGAAUUACUGGGCGUAAAGGGCUCGUAGGCGGCCAACUAAGUCAGACGUGAAAUCCCUCAGCUUAACUGGGGAACUGCGUCUGAUACUGGAUGGCUUGAGUUCGGGAGAGGGAUGCGGAAUUCCAGGUGUAGCGGUGAAAUGCGUAGAUAUCUGGAGGAACACCGGUGGCGAAGGCGACGUCCUGGACCGGUAUUGACGCUGAGGCGCGAAAGCCAGGGGAGCAAACGGG